GCCGGAGUGGCGGAAUAGGCAGACGCAAGGGACUUAAAAUCCCUCGGGCUUACCAGCUCGUACCGGUUCGACCCCGGUCUCCGGCACCA
rnacentral:tRNA from 3 species